rnacentral:rRNA from 1 species
AUUGAACGCUGGCGGCAGGCCUAACACAUUCAAGUCGAACUAGUGUCGGACGGGUGAGUAUUGUCUUGGUAACUGCCUGAUGGAGGGGGAUAACUCCUGUAAACGGUAGCUAAUACCGCAUACCAUCGGAUGUGCCCAGAUGGGAUUAGCUAGUAGGUGGGGUAAAGGCUCACCUAGGCGACGAUCCCUAGCUGGUCUGAGAGGAUGACCAGACACACUGGGACUGAGACACGGUCCAGACUCCUACGGGAGGCAGCAGUGGGGAAUCUUGCGCAAUGGGCGCAAGCCUGAUGCAGCCAUGCCGCGUGUAUGAAGAAGGCCUUCGGGUUGUAAAGUACUUUCAGCGGGGAGGCGUUACCCGCAGAAGAAGCACCGGCUAACUCCGUGCCAGCAGCCGCGGUAAUUC